GCGAGGGUCGCCCAGCCAGGUCAAAGGCGCAGGGCUUAGGACCCUGUCUCGAAGGAGUUCGUGAGUUCAAAUCUCACCCCUCGCA
rnacentral:tRNA from 4 species